AACUGCAAUUUCUUCAACAGGCGGCUUUACAACUUCUCACACCAAAAUUCAGUUUCCAUGGAAGAAGAGAAGAAACUGGCAAGAAAAAAUAGAAUAUGCAUACGGAAGCAAAAACGGCCUAAACACUCCUCGGCUAAUAAUGUCUCCAUACACAUAUCAAAAUCACGAUCCACUUCUGCCGUUGGAAAGAGGACUUCUACAAUUGCAAUAUAAAAAAAUUCAGGAACGUCGAAACUACGAUCCGCUUGUGCCAUUCGAAGGAGGACUUAUGGAACUACAAUAUAUAAAUAUUAAGGCAUAUCAAAACCACAAUCCGCUUUUGCCGUUCGAAAGAGAAUUCUAGCACUACAAUAUAUACAACAAUUAGGCCAGAUCCUUCGUAGAUUUGUCUUAUUUCUUCGAUAAUAUCCAUAUUUCUUCAUGUGGAAUGUUUUGUAUUUACUGUGAGUGAACUAAUUAAACUUUAGCAGUAUCACGACGGUUCA